AUAAGAAACUACUUUUUAAGUAUUUUAGUUUUCAUUUUAAUAUUAUAUUUUAUGUUUACUGUGUAUUAUCAUUUAAUGGGUUCAAUUAAUUAUUACAGCUUCAUUUUAAACAAAGUCAAUUUGAAAAAAAAUUGUGCUGAUGGUUGGAAGAAAUUUAAACUAAAUGCUGUUUGUUCUGACAUUGUUCAAUGUCCCCAAUCCUCUACCACAAUUUGACACAGUGCCUCUGGUACAGUGCCUUAACAAAAGUGGUUUAUUAUGCUUAUUAAAAUGGGACCCGAAGAUUGUCACAGAGUUCACACCAUGACGAUGAUGCACUGGCUACAAAAUGUUCAUUCACCGACCAUAAUCAGUAAUCACUAAUCUCCUGAAAUAUUUGACAUAUUUUGUAAUUCAAGGAUAUACAUUUUGUUUAAUAUGCCAUGAAUUCCCCAAAAGGUAAAUUAUAUACAAAAUAUUUUAACAUCAUUCAAACGAUGAAGCAAAGUGGAUUGUUAUCAAAAUUUCCCAAAAAAAGUCUUCAAAAUUUACAUGUCCAAUAUGGAUAAAAACUAUGGAUUUACUUGCGCAUCAUAUCUGAAUACUAUGAUUGUAAUCCGUAAUAAAAUAUUGGUGUCUUGGCUUAGCGUGAUGGCUGUUACCAAUGGCGCAAUGCAACUGUGUGUAAGUAACGCCCGCAUCUACUAGCUCCCGGAUGGGUGACCAACCGGUUUCGUAGUAGUUAAAACCUUGCCACACAUACACGUGUUGCUUACGUACCGCAACAACACCUUACCAUACCACAGUCCAUAACCCCUACAAUAGCUUAUGGCCAUAGUCGGGUUUAAGUUCAAUUAAAAAAAAAAAAAAUAAAUAACCAAAAAGUCCUCAUUAUGAUUGGAAUACAUUAAUUUAAAAAAAAAUUAAUCGAUGAAUUAAAAAAUGAUCUGAAAAGGAUUAUUUAUAUCAUAUAGCAAUAUUAUAUUAUUAUAUUGUGUAGAUUUUAAAUUUUUUCGAUGGCUCAAUCACAAUAAUAUUAUAGCACUCCCUAAACUUAAUUAUAUAAUAUAGAGAUUAGAGGCGACUGGCGACCGUUUUGUGGAGGUUGUUCAUCCCUAAAACUCAUAAGAUUAGCGAACUACUCUGUUAGCCAUAUCAUUAUAAUAAUUCUUAAAUUAUUAAUACUUUCUAUCUUAGGUAAUUUAUUUUGCAAUAAUUACAAAAUAAAUAUAAUAUUAUUUUACAACGAAGAAUAAAUUAUUGUAAAUAUGAUGUGCCAAUAUCCGAUGCCGUGCAAUAUGGAUAUAAUUAAAAUAUUUUAUUAUAUUCGGGUAUCAACUUGUAAUUAAUUUAAUUACCAAAAAUCUAUAUACAAUUAUUCAAACAUAAAAAAUAAUAAUACGUAAAAAACAUUGUACUGUGCAUAAGGUGUGCACUGAAUACUGAAAUAUUUAUCGUGUUAACAGGCUGUCGAUAAAACAAUUUUUAAUUCGUUGGGUAAAAUAAAUUUAUCUGCAAAUACUAAAAAUAAUAUUUUUAAUAUUCAGUUAUUAUCUUUAUU